GGAUGAUGUAAUAGGUCUCCAGAGGCGCCAACACCCACAGGAAGGCACAAGGGAUCCAUGCCAAGACAGUCCGUUCAAAGCACCGCGGUAACUGGGGGGUGUCCGUGUACCAGGAGUAUGGGUGCCGGUGGCAGGACUGUUGGAGGUGGCAACUCUGGGAGAGACGGGAAGGCAGAGAGAGCGGAGAUGUGUGGCCCAAGAGGAAGCCAACGUGUGCCUUCCUGCUUUGGAAGUGUUUCCCUGCCUGUUGAGUGCCUGUCGUGCCCUGGGAGACUUGUGGUCCCCCUUUGCACUUGUAAAGCAAUGUACUUGCGGAGGAUUUGUCAAUAAACCUAGGAAAUAG